rnacentral:lncRNA from 1 species
ACGCAUUAAAGGGGCCCUGAACCACUUUUUAUCGAAGUGGAGAAAUGCAUUUGAAGUGAAGGUAGGUUAUUUCAGAAAUACAUUGGCGCAAAAAGUACUACAA